rnacentral:lncRNA from 1 species
UUUAGCCAGCCUUAGUACAGUGUAAGGUGGGAACAAAAUGCUACAGUGCUACUCAGUUUCCUGCUUUCUACCUUUGCAUUUUUAGGAUCAGGCCUUCUGGUUUGGAAUGGGGUAGACAACACCCAGCCUCAUCCACAUGACUUCUGAUCAUCUCCAAUGCCUGAAUGCAGCUGGAUUGAUAGUGAUGAGUAUUAUGAUGUUCUGCCGCUAUAGGGAAAAGAGACAGGAUUUAGGGGUUAAUUCAUUUUAAUACUUAUGCUUUGGUCAAAGGAAAAAGAGGCAGAAGACUGAUUGUGGAACUGGGAUGCUGGUGGUGUCUGAAGCAUACAAGACAAUUUUGGAGAGAUUGACAGGAAAAUGUCUUCAGAGCAAACGCACGCCAGAUGGAAUGAAAACGGUUUAUUGGAGUAUGGAGGUGCUGCUGAACUGAAUAGAGGGCGGGUUUAAGAGCAAAGGCAGGAAAACAGCCAUAAAUGGGAAGAAACAGCACAAAAGAAAGGAAGAAAAUACAACUCUAAACUGUGAAUCUCCCUGACAUCUUUUCAUUAUCAGCCUAGUCAAUGAAAAAUGCCACAAAGGAAAACACAGCAUCAUAUUAUUGAAACAUGAUGGUUUGGGGUUUUUUUGAAGGACGCACUUGUAUAUUCUCCAUGGAUAGAUUUUUUUAUUUAAUUAUAUUUGGCAUUAUUAACUCUGUAAUUGUGUUUUACAUGUAGGGCUUGGAUUAAGUGGUUUUCCUGUAUCAUAUACACUUGUAUCACUCUUUUUACAGUUUUUUCAGGGCUUUUUUCCUUAUGCAAACAGAUCAGAGAGAAAAUAUUGAGUUGCUUCCUUUAUUUGUAUUAUACUUUAAAACCAAACAAACCUUUUUAUCUUUGACAAUGUGCUUCUUUUUUUGCUAAGGAAUA